UCUAAAAUUAUAUUUUAUCAUAAAAUUCUCUAAAGCUUUCAUAAAAGAUUGUUAUUUCUCCCCAGAUAACAAAGAUAUCUAGAAAAGUGAUUCAUCAUGGUAUGAAAGCACAUGAGAGACAGAGAUUUCAGCUGAAGACAUACCUUAAAAUGUUCUAAAUGGUUCAGCACAAGUCUUUCUAGUCUCUUCUCAAAGGCAGGAAAUGAUGAUAUUUGGGUCUCUACUGAUAAUGUUUUAGCACAUGACAAAAAAUGGCAACAGUCUUAGAUUUGGGGAGCAUCAUUCAUGUGCGUAAUGCAGUCUGACACUCCCUUCGAUGCAAG